GCAAUAGCGUAUAUUAAGUUGUUGUGGUUAAAAGCUCGUAGUUGGAUCUCGGCGGUCUGAGGGUGGUUCGCUUCAGAGCGCUACUGCCCUAUAGACCGUAGUUUUGCCAGAGGUCUCAGGGUGCUCUUAACCGAGUGUCUUGCGAUGCUGGCAGGUUUACUUUGAAAAAAUUAGAGUGCUCAAAGCAGGCUUUUACGCCUGAAUAUUCGUGCAUAGAAUAAUAGAAUAGGAAGUCGUUUCUAUUUUGUUGGUUUUCGGAAAUCGACUUAAUGAUUAAUAGGGACAGUCGGGGGCAUUUGUAUUCAAACGACAGAGGUGAAAUUCUUGGACCGUUUGAAGACAAACUACUGCGAAAGCAUUUGCCAAGAAUGUUUUCAUUAAUCAAGAACGAAAGUUAGAGGUUCGAAGGCGAUUAGAUACCGCCCUAGUUCUAACCAUAAACGAUGCCAGCUAGCGAUCUGCCGACGUUUUUUUUGUAGACUCGGCAGGAAGCUUCCGGGAAACCAAAGCAUUUGGGUUCCAGGGGAAGUAUGGUUGCAAAGCUGAAACUUAAAGGAAUUGACGGAAGGGCACCACCAGGAGUGGAGCCUGUGGCUUAAUUUGACUCAACACGGGAAAUCUCACCAGGCCCGGACACUGGAAGGAUUGACAGAUUGAUAGCUCUUUCUUGAUUCGGUGGGUGGUGGUGCAUGGCCGUUCUUAGUUGGUGGAGUGAUUUGUCUGGUUAUUCCGAUAACGAACGAGACUCUGUCCUGCUAAAUAGUGUCCGCCUCUCUU
rnacentral:rRNA from 1 species